rnacentral:lncRNA from 1 species
AUGGCCAGCACAGGCGUCCGCGGAGAUUUUGGGCACCAAAACCACGCGCAGGAAGGGCUCUGCCCAGCUUCCCAGCGCCCGCGAGCGGCUCGGCGUCCCCUCGGCUCUCAUCGCGGCACCCCAGCCAGCCCGGUCCCAGGGCRGAUGCGGUGGCCAGACUCGCGCAGCUCCGUCGGCACAGCCAGGCAGCCACCAAGUCCCAGYGCCCUCGGCAGACCCGGUCCGGGCGGAGGGCAGCAACAAGAGAUUAAGGACUCGGCUGCCGACCCUUCCCGCGAGCGCUCAGCACCGCCUGCCCRCUCGCCACGCGGCUCACGGCUGCAGCAGAUACUUCUCUUCAUUCCUCGUCUCGUCCGUGUCGGAGGACGGGCUCUUCUUAGGGCAGGACGGGGUCCUGCAGGCCUUGCAGAGGAUGAGGAACAGGAUGAGGAUGAGCAACACGAUGAUGCAGUUAAAAGAAAUAGCGAUGACUGCUCCGGUGGAGAGAGCCGCCCCCAUCGCCGCCGCCCGGCGGGGCGGCCCCGCUCCACGGGCAAACGCCGGGCCCCCAGCCAGCCCCCGGCCUCAGCCCGAUACUCCGGAUGCCGGCGCAGCGAUGGAGCGCGCAGCGUCUGCCUGCAGGCAUUGGCGGGGGGCGAUGGGGACAGCCGCAGCUCCCGCCGGCCCCGGCUGCAGUCCCAGCAGCGGGGCAGCCCCCCAGCGCUCCUGCCUCCAGCCUGGGCCCCCGCUCCGGGGAGGGGAAGGCAGAAUGGCUCUUCGGCACGUGCCGCCCAGAUCGCAGCCCGGCGGACGAGCAGGGCCACGCUGGCAGCAGGGCAGCGGUGGCCAAAUCGCGGCUUAGCCGUGCAGAGCUGCCACCUCGGCCGUCGCCUCCCAGCGAUGCUUGCAGCUGAAAAGGACCCAACGGCCAGGCCUCAGCAUUCCCUCCUCCGGCAGCGCCGCGGGGACGUCGGGAUGCUGCUCCUCCCUCAUGCACCUGGAAGGGAGAAAGUCACUGUCACCRCCGGGAUGGGGGGGGGCAGGUGCCCAAGCCCCUCGGGGCAGCCCGCAGACGGAGCUGCCAGCAGCCUUUUCUCCUGCCUCCGGAGCAGGGAGCUGCCAACUGCCCGCAAACCCCCCGUCGAGGKGUUCGGAGUCCCCGAAGAGACGCUCCCGCUUGCUUUCCAGCUUGGCACCGGGCAGGUGCUGCGGAGCCACGGCACUCACUCGGCUCCUGCUGCCGUUGGCCUGGCGUUAACCGAGUUGGUCGGGUCUCUGCUUUAUUCCUGCAGGAGGCCUCCGCCACAUCCCCCUCCCCAGAGCCAGCUGGCACGACACGGACCCCGCUGCUCUCCUGCCCCUCAAAGCAGGGGCUGCGCGGCACCAGAGGAGAGGGAAGCUAGCGCUCACCAGGCAGAGCCGCUGAGCCUGGUGCUCCGCUGCCCUCGGCUCUCGCACCUUCCUCCGAGGUGGCUGCCUGGGCACGGGAUGGAGACGGGACCGUGA